UACGGAGGGGGCUAGCGUUGUUCGGAAUUACUGGGCGUAAAGGGCGCGCAGGCGGCUGCUCAAGUCAGGCGUGAAAGGCCUGGGCUCAACCCGGGAAUUGCGCUUGAGACUGGCACGCUCGAGUUCGGGAGAGGAUGGUGGAAUUCCCAGUGUAGAGGUGAAAUUCGUAGAUAUUGGGAAGAACACCGAUGGCGAAGGCAGCCAUCUGGACCGACACUGACGCUGAGGCGGCGAAAGCGUGGGGAGCAAACAGG
rnacentral:rRNA from 1 species